CACUAAAAGAGAAUUUUAUGGGUGAAGAUGAAAUCGUAGUGAGAACUUCGAUCGCCGCCUGUUCGCCUAUCGCAGCAAGUAAGCUUCUUGCAUACGGCUUCAGCGGCGGCUGCGACUGUUGGUGGCAGAUUCUUAAUAUGAUCAUUUCCACGGAUUCCGGGAGCGGAACUUCUUGAAGCCCCACUUCCAUUUCUACUUUCUUUAUUUUUUUUUCUAUUAACUUUGUUUCUGUUGAAUCGUUUUGCGAGCUUCAGCUAACUGUAAGAGAGGAGAAACGAAGGUGUAGGAGUUUGAAAGUUCGGGAAUUUGCACAACAUGGGAUUUCCCGCUUUUAAAGGGAGAGAGACACGAUUGCGACUCGGGAGAGAGAAAAAUGUCCACUUUUCAGAGUUUUUUCUACAUUCAGUGAGCGCCCGUUUAGCAGAUAGUAAAAGGGACGUUAAUUUUCUGGAGAAUGUACGAAAGAAAAAUAAGAAAAAAAUUGGAUUUACGUAAAAUAUUAUUUAGCUCUCGUUUGUUUCUCAUUUUUAGAAAAAUAAAAAUGAAAAAUAUAGUCAUUACGAGCCCCACAUAAGAGAUAGAAAUUCAAAUUUGAUAGCUUGAUGUAAUGGAUAACGAUCAUAUUUUUCAUUUUAAUAAAGAAAUAAUGAGAAUCAAAUAGGGGCUUAUUUAAAAUGUGUAGUUGAUAGAAAGAGAUAUAAAAAUGAAUUAUAAUUUAAUGGAAAAUAAAAAGGGCACAUGAGGGCUAAAAGUGGAGCGAGGACAAAAACGAAAGAUAAAAAAUUACAACUGCAGUCCCUUACAAUUUUAUGCAUUCCCUAUUUGUUUAUCAUUCUUUCAAAACUCUUUUUUUUCAUACUCAUUUUUAACCAUUCAUUAUUACGAUAAAAUAUUCUUCAUGUAGAUUCAAUAUUUUUCUAUUUUUUAAUCACAUAUUUUUUGAAAUUACUAUUUCAAAGCUUAUUAUUCUCAUAAAAACUCAAAAGAAUAACUGUCAAAUAAAGCACGAUUUUUUCUAAAACAGAUGUAACUAAGCAUCGUUUGAGCCCCAUUUUGAAAAAUAUAGUUUGGAAUAUUGAUUUUUUAAAAAUAUAUAUGGUUGAGAAAUAGAAAAAAAAAUUGAAUUUACUCGUAAAAUUAUUUUAUAGAAAACUGUGAGACUAAAAAUGAAUUCUGAAAAAAUAAAUUUUGAAAAGAUGGAUCUCAAAAUAGUGACUAAACAAUACAAUUGUUAAAAAGGCAUGAAUCAAGGUCAAUCUUCAAGAUUAACGAGUCCGAACGUAAAAAAGACGUUUAUCAAAUAAAUAAAAAAUAAUAAUUGUAGUCAUGGUUGCCCUCCUUUGGCCCUCAUUUUGUGAAAAUGAAAAUGGUUGAAAUAGUUUUUUUUUUUUUAAAUAACUGGUUAAAAAAGAAAGAAAAAUAUUUGAUUUACGUGUAAUAUUAUUUUAUGGGAGAUUGUGUGGUUGAAAAUAAGAAAGAAAAAAAUGUAAUGUAAUAUAAUAGAAAUUAAUGGGGAUCAAUUUUGUAGCUUUUGUAAUAACCUUUUAUUAAUUACAAUCAUGAUCCCAAACCUUUUAUGUGUGCACGGCUGGAAGACAAAUUGGUAAAAUUCAUCCAAAUUACAGUAGAAGGAUAAAAUGAUGAAAAAUGCUUGAGGUACAAAACGGUGUACAAAGCUGUGUCCAAAAUGGACACCCAGUGCCUCGGCAUUGGUCGAGGCUCUUGCCGGGGCCCGCAAGAGCCUCGACCAAUGCCAAGGAUCCGUGUGUCCAUUUUGGACACCCUUUUGUACCCAUAGCAAAACGUUUUGUACCCAAAGCAAAACCGGAAUAUAAUAGCUUCACAUUUUUCUACAUAAAAAAUAAAGUAAUUAAAAAAAAAAACUCAGAAGAUAUAGGGGCUGUUUGAGAGCUAUUUUUAUGUAAAAAAUGCAUUUUAGAAUAGUAACUUGAUGAGAAGUGUGUAGUUGAAAAAUAAGGAAAUUUUUUUUAUUUACGUGUAAUAUUAUUUUAAUAAAGAAUGUGUAGUUGAAAAGAAGAGAGAGAAAAAUGCAUUUUAAAAAAAAAAUGGGUACCAAACGGGGGCAUAAAAGAAGUUCUUUUUCUCCCGGCCCCACCACCGAACCACACCGCAGCCACCAUCACCACCUCUGCAAUCGCCUUCUUCCCCAGCCCAUCUUCCUUUUUCUCCAUAUUCUCCCACCAAAUCGAAUCAAAAUCCCAAUCUGCAAUGAAGCAAACAUUUUCUUCGUAAAUGGUUGCAAAUCCGUAAAAUGCUUUUCUAGCUAUAAAUCUUACAGAGCCAGCAAUGGCUUUUGUAAGAUAAACUUCAAAUUUUUCAGGCUUCCUUUUGUUUUAUAAUUGUUUAGAUUUCCGAUGGUUCCUUAUUUUCGGAGUUCAGAAUUCAUCUGACAGCAAUCCAAUUUCAGACCUUAAUAAUUUCUUCAUUGCCUUUCUUAGUUGUUUAUAAUAAUUAUACUACGGUGCACUUGCAAAUGCACAAACCUAAUAGAGGAGUGUUGGGUGAGGAUUUUAAUCCAAUUAAAAUUAAUUUUUUUUUAUCAUUAUUUUACAAUUUUAAUCAUCAUUUUUUAAUUAUUUUCUCACACAUGCCCACUUUUAUCUCUAACGAUCAAAAAAUCAACUCUCAAAAUCCCGACCAAACACCUCUUAAGUAAUCAAAGUUACAGGAAAAUAAAUGUGAUAUUAGUGGCUUUGAAGGGUUCUUAAAUUCAAAAAACUUGAGUUUGACUUAAAAAAACCUUUUUUUUUUUUUUUAUUAUUUGUGCUUCGGUUCUUGUAGUUUAUUGUUACAAGAUGACAGGAAUCCACAUUUCUGUUUUAUUCAACGACUGAAUAGGUUGGGGAUAAGUUUUGAUUAUGUUAGGUAUUGAAGUCGUUCCCACCCUAGAGCCUGAUUGAUUGAACCCCAUUUUGGGUCUGAUUGAUUUCCAUUUUUUGGUCACAAAAAUAAAAAAUAUGACCCUUAACUAUCACAUCAAGUUACCAUAUUUGACUUUCUAUCUUUUGUAUGGUCCCAUAAUGACUAUAUUUUUUAUUCUCAUUCUUACAAAAAUGGUACAAACUCUUUAUUUUUUUAAAAUUAAAUAGUAGAUUGACGAAGAACGUGUGGAAGAAAAAUAAGAAAAAAUUUUGAAUUUGUGAAUUUUAUUGAAAAAUGUGUAAUUAAAAAAAAUAGAUGAAUAAAUGUAUUUUAAAAAUAACGAGAUCAAACCAUGGCUUAAUCUUUGAUAAUCCAAUAGGUUGAAUACUUCUUUUAUCAAUUUAUUUCACUCAAUAUACUCUUGCAUAAAGGAACCCCAUAGCGUGCCACUCCUUGCUCCCAUCUUUAGAAGUCGCAAUAGUGGGUCAAUUAAGCGAGAUAAUCUUCAGUCUAAAAAUUCUUCUCAGUUAAUCACAUAUAAUUGACACGCGAGUGGCCCACCAUUGUCAGUCUACUUUGUUCCUGUAAGAUAAGCUAGUGCAUUUUUGUUGUUGUUGACAGGGAAUAAUCACAGUAUUUAUGUAAGGGAUGGUACCAUAAGAGACUAGUACAGAAAGUUUUCACAAAAUUCUUUUACAGAUAAUUUAUGGCACGGGUGUUGUCAAUGCAUCAUAUGCAAAAAAUUGUCAACCAUUUCCCGUACUCAAGGAUUUAUCCUUAUGAAAAUUGUUGAAAUGAAUUAGCGCUGUGAACUUCAUUGUAUUAAUGAUAAUUAAUGAACCUCUUGAACGGUUUUGAUCGAUAUGGAGGACGAUCCAAACAUCAACAACUUCAAAAAUAACAUGGCAUCCAAGAAGGAUGAUAUAUUGUAUGAAAAUAUUGUGACUGAAGGAAUUGAAAUAAGUUGCGUUGAGAGGAAAACUCGAUAGGAAGAAGAUGGAGGAACUGAUUGGGAACAACAUGAGGACACUGAGGUCAAUGAAUUGAAAUAUACAUAUAAAUAUAUCUGAUAAAUUUUUAAUUGCUCAUAAGUUAUAAGUUAUGUAUUUUACAAAAAUGUGUGAAUAAUAAAUUAUAUUAAGACGUGAUCAUAUAAAAUAUGUCCUUAUUUGAUCCCCAUUAUUUUCAAAAUACAUUUUUAUCUCUUUUUUUUUAAUUACACAUUCUUCAAUGAAAUUAUUUUACAUGUGGAUUUAAAACUUUUUCUUAUUUUUUAACUACACAUUAACGUCGAUCUACUAUUACAAAAUGAAUUCUACACUAAAAUGGGGCUCAAACGGGGUGUAUAUGAAUAAAAAAUAUAUCUAGACUCCAUUAUUUCAAAUUAUAACAAAAAAAAUAGUAAUUUUAUAAGAAUAUGUGGUUAAAAAGAAAUAAAUUUUUUUUAGAUUUAUGUGUAAUAUUAUUUUGCUAAAAAGUGUGUGAAUUUUAAUUUAAAGAGAGCCAAAUUGGGGCUAACUGAAAUUACAUUUGGCAAACAUGCUAAGCCUUAAUUAUUAAUUUUUAAAAAAGUAAACUUGACGACUUUCAAGUCUGGACCCUUUUGGAAAAAUAUUUUAAGUUGGGCUAUUUUUACUUUGCACGCGAAAGACUAAAGAGGGGCUUUAGAAACAAUUGCCAUAUUCUUUACUUUAAUGUUCCUUAAAGCAGAGUAAUACAGUAGUGCAUCUAAGGUUAUCUUCAAUCCUGCACCAAAUUUUGCCCUAUUUUGUACCAAAUUUUACAUCAGAUCUUGCAUCAAACUAAAAUUCAUCUCCAACCAUUAUACCAAAUGAACAGUAUUUAACCAAUUUCUUCCCUUUUUUAUUCUUUAUAAUUUAUUUAUUUGAAAUAUUAUUUAUUUAAUUAUUUUAUAAAUACAUAAAUUACUAAAUAAAUAAUUACGUUAAAUUACGGAAAAGAUUAAAUUCAUUGAUAAAUAUAAAAAACACGGAACAAUUAAUAAAAACACUACAACAACGAAAAUAUGAAAUCAAAUUAGAUUAUCGUAUAUAUAUCGUUGUUUAAUAUAUUUUGUGUUAAUUUUAAUAAAUAAUCGUGUUUGUUGUAUUUUAAAUUGUUUUCGUCUUUUAAUUAAUUUAUAAAUUUAUUUUAAAUGCAAAUGGUGCAAUGGUGUUACCAUUGGAGAUGCCCUAAUGGUAUGGUGAUAUGAAGGAUCCUUCCAGCUUUUGAAAUCAAAUUGCACCGAAAGAUAAUUAGCACAAAAUCCUUGAUUGACGGGGAUUAAAAUCUAAUUUUCAGUAAAAUGUGUGAUUAAAAUUAAUUGUUGAUUUUGAUUUGAAUUAAAAUUUUGAUUUUUAGCCCCUAUUUGUUUCUCAUUAAAAUGAAAAAUAUGACUGUUAUCUAUCACAUCAAGCCACCAAAUUUGAAUUUACAUCUCUUGUAUGGUGUUCAUAACGGCUAUAUUUUUCAUUCUCAUUCUUAUGAAAAUGAGAAACAAACGGGACCUUAGUAGCACCAAACAGGGGCAAAAUGUUUUUAUCGUUUUCACUCAUUGCACAAAUCUUUUGUAUCAUUUUAAAUUUUAUAUUUAAACCAUUGUUUUAAUUUUUUCUCGUGGAAUUGGUAAUUUUCAUCUCAUUUAGCCCUUGUUUGAGCUCCAUUAUUUUCAUCAAAAUACAUUAUUCAACGGUGAUUUUACUCAUUUCAGCCACACAUUCUUCAUUAAAAUAGUAUUACACACAAAUUCAAAAAUUUUUUUUAUUUUUUAACCACAUAUUUUCUAUCAAUAUACUAUUCAAAAAUACAUUUUUUUACAAGAAUAAGCCUCAAACAAGGGCUUAGUCAAUUCGUUCCUUCAAAUAUAGCCCCGUUUGGUAGCCAUUUUUUUUCAAAAUACAUUUUUCUCUCUGUUCUUGUCAACCACACAUUCUUUAUUAAAAUAAUAUUAUACGUAAAUAAAAAAAAUUUUAUUUUUCAACCACACAUUUCACAUUAAUUUACUAUUCUAAAAUGUAUUUUUACAUAAAAAUGUCUAUCAAAUACCCCUAUAGGUUAUUGAUCCUUAUCAUUAUUUUAAAGCUUACUUUUUUUUCAAGAAAAAUAGGGUUGAAAAAAAGGGUUCAAACAACCAGGAAAAUAAUCGCAUAAUUUUCUUAUGAGUGGAUUAUGCUUUUUGUUAGUGCAGCUUAAAAGAUGAUUGAUUGCUUUUUUCUUUCUUUUGUCUAAUAAUUGCAUAUUCAAAUGCAUCUAUUAUUGUACUUUUAUCUUCUUCUUUAGCAAUCUUCUUAUGAAAGUUUUGUAAAACUAACGUCAAUCCCGUGGUGCAGCCAUGAUCCUCUACCAUUAUCUUAAUAUAUGUAAUCCAGUAACAUAUAUCUUCUUUUUGGGUUACAUUUUAUUCAAAAUAUAUUUUUAUAUCUCUUCUUUUCAAUCACACAUUUUUUAAUAAAAUAAUAUUACAUAUAAAUUCAAAUCUUUCCUUUUUUUAACCAAACAUUUUGGAAAAAAAAAAAAAGCAAUCUUCUUAUGAAAGUUUUGUAAAACUAACGUCAAUCCCGUGGUGCAGCCAUGAUCCUCUACCAUUAUCUUAAUAUAUGUAAUCCAGUAACAUAUAUCUUCUUUUUGGGUUACAUUUUAUUCAAAAUAUAUUUUUAUAUCUCUUCUUUUCAAUCACACAUUUUUUAAUAAAAUAAUAUUACAUAUAAAUUCAAAUCUUUCCUUUUUUUAACCAAACAUUUUGGAAAAAAAAAAAGAAUAAAAAAUAAAAAGUGUCCUUUAAAAAAUAGUAAAAGGAUGUAUUUUUCGAUUUUUUGGACAAAAAUAUGGCUUUUGUCUAGUUAUCCUUCCAAGAAAUAUAGUAAUCUUGUUAUUCAAAAUCAAUUUGGAUAAAUUUGGAUGAAUUAAGGAUAUCAAAAUCAAAAGGGGAAAUAAUGCCAUAUAUAUGGCUUAUAUGAAUGCAUAAGCCUUUCAGACCUACAUUUGCAUGUGGCUCUUCAAAGCCUAACAAGGCGGCCCAAAUUAUAGUAUAGCCAUGCGGUCGCAUAGUGUUAAAAUCUAGCCAUUGGUUGGAUCUUUUUAGAAUUUUCUAGUGGUUUUCUUGGUGAAUCAUUGCACCUCUUCUUUUUGAGUUGGAACCACUUCAUGUAGGGAUGAACGAAAACUAUAAAGACAUGAUAGUAUUCAUCCCUAAACAUAUGAAAAAUCAUUUUACCAUUCAUCCAACCAAUUAAAGAAAUCAUUGAUCCUUUACAUAUUCAAAGUCUUGUUUUCACUUGUUCAUUUGAAGAAUUACUUUGCUUUUGGUAUUAAGGCUUGAUAAAUCCUACAAGCUAUUUGAUAUUUAAUCCUUUAGAAGUAUCUUUGAGAGGAGGCAAAUAUCGUUUGAGGACGACGAUUUUUUCAUGUCGAAGUCUUCAUCAUUUUUUACAUUAAUUUUUUAUCCUUGUAAUAUUCUCCUACUUUUUCCUCCAUUGUUGUAAUUUUUCCAACAAUCUCAAACGAUAUCCUUCUUUUUACUGCAAUGGAGACGAAAACUACACUUGCUACCAUAAAGUUGAUGAACCAAGAUUUGGUGCGCUUAGAUAGAUUUGAUAGGUCAAACUUCACAAGAUGGCAGAACAAACUCAAAUUCCUUCAACGACAUUAAAAAUCUCCUAUAUGCUUGGUCCAAACCUAGAACCAAUUUCUGAUGCAACAAAAAAAGAAGGAAGGACAAGUAAACUCCACUAAUGAGAUUAUCGCGAUAGUAAGCGAAAUCAACACAAUACAAAGCAAAGUUCCAGAUUGGUGGUAUGACACUUGUGCAACUAUCCAUGUUUGUUAUGACAAGUCUCUUUUCAAAACUUAUCAUGACAUUAAAGAUGGUCAAGAAAUCCAAAUGAAAAUGAAGAUCUAAAGUGAUUGACAAAGAUAAUGUAGAAAUCAUUUUCACUUCAAAAAAGAAGAUCACUUUGACAAAUAUCCUCUAUGUACCAUAAAUGAAUAGAAACUUAACAAGUGGAGUCUUAUUAGAAAAAUCAAGAAUUAAAUUUGCUUUUGAGUAUGGAAAACUUAAUGCGUAUUUUGUUGGAAAAUGCUAUUCUACUGAGGAGUUAGAAUUAUGAAAAAAUUAAAACUCUUGAGAAUAACUCUAAUAAAAUUAAAUCUUUUGCUUAUGUUAUUAAUUCAUUUAAUUUAUGGUAUUAUAGAUUAGAGUAUAUAGGAGUUAGAACUAUGAAAAAAUGGUUAAAUGUGGAUUAAUACAACGUGAAGUUGAUAACUUAGAAAAAUGUGAAACAUGUAUUAAAUAAAAAAAUAUUAAAAAGCUAUUUCAUAGUGUAGUAAGAUCAACAAACUUACUUGAACUCGUUCAUCCCGAUAUAUGUGAACUAAAUGACACGUUAACAAGAGGCUGUAAUAGCUAUUUUAUUACUUUCAUUGAUAAUUGCUCUAGGUAUACUUACGUAUAUUUGUUAAAGCUUAAAUAUGAAGUCCUUAGUGCUUUUAAAACAUAUAAAGUUGAAGUUGAAAAUAAAUUAGGAAAGAAACUAAAAAUUCUCAAAGGUGGGGAAUACUUAUAUAAUGAAUUCAAUAUGUUUUGUGGAUAAAAUGGAAUAAUACAUCAAUAUUCAGCAUCACGAACAUCAGAACAAAAUAGUCUAACAGAAAAAAAAAUAGAAUAGAACAUUCUUAGAGAUGAUAAAUGCUAUGUUAUUGAAUUCUGAAUUAAUAUUCAAUUUAUGGAGUGAAGCCUUACUUAGUGCUUGUCAUAUAGUAAAUAUGAUUCCUUUUAAAAAGAAUAAGAUCUCUCCAUAUGAAACAUGGAAAUGAAGUAAACCAAAUAUUAACUAUUGUAAAGUGUGGGGGUGUCUUACUUAUUAUAAGAAUACUAAUCCCAUGAGAAUUAAAUUAGGUCCUAAAGAUAUCAAAUGUGCCUUUGUGGAGUUUUUUGAAAUGUAUUAGUAGCAAAAAAAAUCUCAAAACAAUGGAGAUAAUCUGAAUUCUAGAGAAUUACAAGAAGGGACGUCUACGAGAGACGUUGAAAGUGAACCCUGAAGAAGUAAGAGAACCAGAAAAGAAAAAUAUCUAGAUUUAGAUUAGAUAGAUUCCCAACACAUUUCUUUCUACUUAAUAGAGGGAGAUAGGAAGGACGUUGUAAGAACAAUUGAUUUUGUCAUUCAAGUUCAAGUGUUCUUAAAAUCUAUAAGGAAACAUUGUCUUAUAGAGAUUGUAUAUUCUAGAAAGAAGCUGUAAAUGAUGAAAUGGAUUCUAUUAUAUCAAAUAACACUUGGAAAAUAGUUGAUGGAAUACUCAAUACCUGUAAAGUCAAAUUAGUGGUUAAAGGAUAUCAGUAAAAAGAAUGAAUAGAUUACUUUGACACAUAUGCGCCAGUGGCCAGGAUAACCUCGAUAAGGAUUUUGUUUGCAUUAACAUUAAUUUAUGGUUUAAAUGUUUAUCAAAUGAAUAUCAAGACGGCAUUCUUAAAUGAAUAUUUCAAAGUGGAAGUUUAUAUGGAACAACCGAAAGGUUUUGUUCUACCAGGAAAUGAACAUAAGGUAUGGAAAAUAAUCAAGUCCUUAUAUGGAUUAAAACAAAUCCCUGAGAAGUGGCAUGAGAAAUUUAACUCUGAAAUAAUGUCGAAUGAUUUUAAUCAUAAUUUGGUAGACAAAUGUCAUUACACUAAAGUAAAUAAUUGUAUAAUUACAUUAAUAUGUAUAUAUAUAUAUAUAGAUGUCAUGUUGAUCAUCAGCUACAAUGUAGAUGGGAUUAAAGAAAUAGAGAGAUUUAUGUCCUCCCCAUUCAAAAUGAACGAUCACUUGAAUGUCAAAGAACUAAUACCCCUUUGGAUCCAAGUAUCAAGUUGAUGAAAAAUGAUGGAAAAGCAAUAACUCAAAUAGAAUAUGCAAGUGCAAUUGAAAGUCUCAUGUACGCGGCACAAUAUACAAGACCAUUUGCUGUGAAUAAACUAAGUAGGUUUACUAACAAUCCAAGUUCCGAACAUUGAAAGGCCAUCAGUAGAGUUCUUGGUUAUUUAAAGAUAAUCAAAACAUGGGACUACAAUGUACAAAGUUCCCUACUAUCUGAGAAUGAUAUAUUGAUACUAGUUGGAUAUCAAGUGCUAAAGAGAAUAAGUUUACUUCAGGUUGGAUAUUUACUUUUUUGAGGGGAUACAGUUUCUUGGAAAUCUAAUAAACAAACAUAUAUUACUCAAUCAACUAUGGAGUCAGAAUUUGUAGCAUUGGCCAAAACUGAAAAAGAAGUUGAGUGGCUAAGAGACCUAUUAUAUGAAAUACCUUUAGAUAUAAAAGAUAUUUCCUCAAUACCUUUCUUGUGCUAUAGUCAAGCUACUCUAACUCAGACAUAUAGUGAAGCAUAUAAUGGAAAAUCUAAACAUAUAAGUCUAAAACAUGUAAGUCUAAGACAUGAGCAUGUGAGAAAAUUAAUCAAGCACGGAAUAAUUUCUCUUACAUACGUUAAAUCUAGCGAAAACUUAGUUGAUCCGUUAACUAAACCUAUUACAAGAGAGUUAGUAAGAUUAACAUCAAGUAGGAUGGGGUUGAAAUUCCUUAAUUAAAUUCACCAAUGAUGACAACCCUACCAAAGAUAUACUAAACAAGUAUAUUUAGAUUCAAAUGGUAAUAAUAAAUCAUUCGAUAAGUUGAUAGAUUUCAACACCAGUAAAAUUAUUAAACAUAUCCUUGGUAAAUAGUGUUGGUUGUUACAGUUGGAGGGGUAAGUUAUAAAAAUUCUUAAUGAAGAUCAGUACGGGGUACAAAUAUCUUUAAAAAUAACAAAGAUAUUAGAAGAACUUUAUCUAUGUGAACUUCAAGGUGGUGUCGCCUCAAUAGAGGUUAGAGUUCUUUCUUUAAAAAUUCAAUGAAAAAGGAUAAAGUGCAAUGUCAUAUUAGCAUUAAGGAGGUUAAAGGAACUUGUGGAAAUUUAACACUUAUGUGUGUGAUUUCAUCAGUAUUAUCACAAGAAAUAAACUGGUUUAAAGCUCUCUAGCUACCUAGAAUUUCGAUAUGCUUUGUGAAAUUUUCACUAUGGUUAGAUUCAAGUUGAAAGAUAUCUAAUCCUUAUACAGCAGUGUUGAUAUUUAAAUAUGUGAUUAACAUUGAGGAUUUUAGGCUUGCUAUCGCAUGUGACUCUUUAGAGCCUAACGAGGUAGCCCAAGUUAUAGCUAUGCGACCGCAUAAACUAUAGUGUGAAAAUCUAGCUGUCGAAUUUCUAAUGAUUUUUUUGGUGAAUCAUUGCACCACUUUUUUUUGAGUUGGAACCACUUUGUGCCAGGAUGAACAAAAACUAUUAAUACAUGAUAGUAUUCAUUCCUAAACAUACGAAAAAUCAUUUUACUAUUCAUCCAACCAAUUGAAGAAAUCAUUGAUCCUUCACAUAUUCAAAGCCUUGUUUUCACUUAUUCAUUUGAACGAUUACUUUGCUUUUGGUAUUCUUCUUUAAGGUUUGAUAAAUCCUACAACAAUUUGCUACUUUAAUCCUUUAAAAGUAUCGUUGAAAGAAGGCAAAUAUUAUUUGAGGACGGUGAUUUUUUGUGGUCAAGUCUUCUUCAUUUUUCACAUAAAUUUUUUUAUCCUUGUAAUCUUCUCCUACUUUUCCCUCCAUUGCUGUAAUUUUUCCAACAAGAAAUGGUUCCAAAAAAAUUGAAUAAAAAAAGUCACACAAUGGCUCCAAAAAGACUGGAAAAAAAUUUAGAAAAAAACAAAAUCAUAAGAAGGGGCGUGCCUUGUGGUUUUUAGUUCUUCGUUUAAUUGUUAUUUUCUAUGCCUUGACCUCAUUUGUAGCAUUUUUGAAAAUAUCUCAUGCCUAGACAGUCGAGGCGGCAAUUUUUCAUGCCUUAUUAAAAUAUAUCAAGAAACUAUGGAAUUUCGGCAAAUUGUUGCCCAUUAUUGAAAUAUCUUUUUUUAAGAUGCGUUUGAUUGUCAAUAUUUUUCAUGGAAAGUGUGUUUUUCCAUCCAAAUUUUUACUUUUUUACACUGUUUGAUUGACAUUUUUUUUAUAGAAUACAUUUUCCUACAUUUGGUCACGUGACCAUAUUUUAAAACCUCAAAAUUAAGGAAAAUACUUUCUUUGAGGCGAGUAAGAUUUUAUUUUCCAAGUAAUUCAUUCUCUCUUUCUCUCUCUCAUUUAUCCACUUUUUACCAUUAAUAAAAAAUAGACAAUUAUAAUAUUUUCUAGGUUGAAAAAUAAAUAAAUCAAACACAUUUAAUUGACAAUUUCCAUGCAAAUAAAUUCAAUUGUUUAGAAUUUAUAUUCUUUCCAUGCAAAUUCGAUACUUGUAAUCAAACACACCCUUAUUGUACAACUCACUCAAUUUUUUAAUGGUUACACUGAUGAUCAUACAAUCACAAAUGUUUAUUUAAAAUUCUGUGUCACUAUAAAUUUCAAUAUGGACAAAAAACAAUGUUAACUAGUAUGCAACGUAAGAUAAAGUCGUGUUUCAUUAAUAAAUGCACAAUUGACAAAAAAACAUGUUCCUCGCAUUUAUUCUAUUUCAAUAAAUCACGACUUUGUCCUACAAGAUGUACAAUUUGACAGCUUUUGUGUCGACGUUGGAAUUUUACAAGUGACUCAUAGAUUUAUGUUAAUCGAUGGGAGCUUAAAACCAUUUCCUUUCCUAAACUCAUAGGUAUCGAGGACUAAUAUCGAACAAAUAUGACGAAAACAUUUUCAACAAUUACACCUUUAUUUAAUGAAACACAAUACAAUUUUGUCUAAAAAGACGUACUAGUUUAACAUUUUGCGUCCAUGUUGAAAUUCAAGAGUGACACAUAAGAGUUAAGGUUAAUAUUUUCGGCCGAGUGACCACUAGUGUAACCAAUAAAACAUGAGUGACUCGGGGUAAAAAAUUACUUGAUUGACUAUUCAAUAUUUUAACAAACCUCGAUAAUUGUUGCUAAAUAGAACAUCCCUUUCAUUUGUAAUAAUGAAAAUCUAGGCUCACCAAUACUUCAAUAUACUAAAAUGCAUCUUAACUUAAGUUCAGAUGGACUAGCUCGACCUAAACUAAUGUUAAGUAACAUUACUCUAUUCAUUUUCCAUGUGGAGCUAAUCUAGGAAAGAAUGUCACAACGUGAAAUUGUACCAAAAAUAAAUUCACCAUUAAAGCUUAUGUUAUUCUAUGUAUUAAAAAAAAAAACGUUACUCUUUCUACUCUCCUCUCACUUUUUACCCUCUUCCAUUUGGUCUCUAUUUCGGUCUUGUAAAAUACAAAACAAUGGUCUUCGUACUCGUCUACUUUCUUCCUUUCUCAUUUAUCUCGAAGUGUAAAAAUGUGUUGAACUGUCAAGGCUCGAACCACCCAACACCAUAAAAAUGUGCCCUGCUAUUGGGCACAACUAUAGGAUCCGUCGCCCGCCCAAACCGUGGCAACCAGAUGCGGUAGUGCACACUCAACAAAUGCAUCACCAUUUGAUAUAAAUGGAAUUUUCAACAAAACAUAUAAAUAAUGCAAAUAGAAAAUUUAAAAAUACAUUUAAUUGCAACGCCGGUGUGUAGUUGUGGCGGUGGUUGUGAUAAUUUUGAAUAUGAUUUUUGGUGAUGUUUGGGUGGAGUGAUUGUGGUGUUGAGGUGCUAGGGAUAUUGGCAAUGCUGGGGAUGUGGCGGUAGUUGGGAGAAAUUUUUAUUUUUUAUUUUUUCAAUUUUUUUGGGUGACGAUUUUGUCGGUGGUUGGGCGGCAAUUGUGAUUUUGCGAGGUCUGAUGGUGGUAAGGUGAUAGUGAUGGUCGUAGGUGGGAUGAGAUUGGGUAGGAUGCUUGUGACCAAUUAUUUAGUUGAUAGUAACUAAUAAUCGGUUAAUUUGUAAUAUAUGAACUAAAAAUAGUGACUGCAACUCAAAAUUGAUUAAGUUGUGAUCGAAAAAUGAAUCGUGACUAAUUUAUCUAAUAAUUUGCAAAGAAUAAAUGAGUUGUGGCUAAUAAAAGUUUUGAUUUUGUGACUGAUGAAUAAUCUGUAACCUAUAAAUUUUUUGAUUUGUGACCGAGAAAUAAGUUGUGAUCAAUAAUUAAUCUGUGAUUUAUUAAUUAAAUAAAUGUGACCACAUUAUAUAGAUUUGUGACAUUAAUAUAUUUAAUUAUAAAAUAUAUGUUUAAUAAAUUAAUUUAAAAAUAUCUUAUUUUAUAAAUUUAAAAUGUGUCAUACUUAAUCUUUUAUUUAUGAUUUUUUCCCUAUUAUAAUUGACACACGGGUUGCCCUAAAAUAAAACUAGUGUAUUUUCGUUGUAAUUGAAAGGGAAUAAUUCACAGUAUUUUUUGUAAGCGGUGGUACUAUAAGUACAGAAUGUUUUCACAAUUUUUUUUUGACAAAUAAUUCAUGGCACAGUUUCAUUGGAAAAUGAAAAAAGAAAUAAAUUGGGGCCAAGUGUUGCCAAUGCAGCAUAUGUAAAAACAUUGUCAACCAUUCCCUGUUCACACAGGGAAUUAUCCUUACGAAAAUUGUUGAAAUGAAUUAGCAUUUUGAACUUCAUUGAAUUAAUGAUAAUUAAUGAACAUCUUGAACCUUUUUUUUUUUUUUUUUAAGACGAGAGAACCCACAAUCGCUACAUUUUGGAUGCGUACUGAGUAAACCCUCAGGUUGACCCAAUUGCUUGCAAACCACGCCAGCCAGGUAAAUCGCAUUAGGCAAGCCCUGUGCGACAGGUUCGACCAAACAUCUUCUACGAUUUUGAUCAAUAUAGAGGAUGAUCCAGACUUCAACAAUUUCGAAAACAUGGUGUCUGAGAAGGAUGAUAUAUUGUAUGUAAAUAAUGUGAUCGAAUGAAUUAACAUAAGUUGCGUUGAGAGCGAAACUCGACGGGAAGAAGAUGGAGGAACAGAUUGGGAGCAACAUGAGGACACUGAGGUCGAUGUAUUGAAAUAUAAAUAUAAAUAUAAUUAUAAUUAUAUUUAAUAUUUUUUAGUUGCUUAUAAAUUAUGGUUCUUACAAAAAUGUGUGAAUAAUAAAUGAUAUUAAGCCCUUGUUUGAGCCCCAUUUUAUUGGAAAGAAUGCAUUUUUAAAUAGUGAUUGAUAGAUAAUGUGUGGUUAAAAAUUAAAAAAAAGUUUUAGGUUUGCAUAUAAUAUUAUUUUUUUUAAAAAUAUGUUGUUGAAAAUGAGUUUUGAAAAAAUGGGGCUCAAACAAGGGUUAAGUCUUGACCAUAUAAAAUAUGCCCUUAUUUGAUUAUCAUUAUUUUCAAAAUAUAUUUUUAUCUCUCUUCUUUUUAACUACACAUUCUUCAAUGAAAUAAUAUUACGUGUGGAUUUAAAACUUUUUCUUAUUUUUAACCACACAUUCACCGUCAAUCUAUUAUUCCAAAAUGCAUUCUACAUAAAAAGAAAAAAUGGGGUGUAUAUGAAUAAAAAAUAUGUUUGGGCUCCAUUAUUUCAUAUUAUAAUAAAAACAAUAGUAAUUUUUUUUUUUUUUUAAGAAUGUGUGGUUAAAAAGAAAUGAAAAAGUUUUUAAGUUUACGUAUAACAUAAUUUUAUUGAAAAAUGUGUGAAUUUUAAUUUAAUGGGGUCAAGUUGGGGCUAACUGAAAAUGACUUUGUUAUAGGUACAUUAAGGGAGCCAUAAGGGUGUCCAUAAUGGACACCCGGCGGCUCCCUGUUGGAGAGGGCGCUAGCCCACGGCAUCCCUUCCAAUAGGGGGCCGUCAGGAAUGGACACCCUUAUGGUUCCCUUAAUGUACAACAAGAAUUAUCUAACUGAAAUUACAAUUGGCAAACAUGCUAAGCCUUAAUGAUUCAUUUUUACGAAAGUAAACUUGACAACUUUCAAGUCGGGACCUUUUUGGAAAAAUAUUUUAAGUUGGCUAUUUUUACUUUGUAUGCGAAAAGAGGGCCUUUACAAACAAGACAAUUGCCAUAUUCUUUACUUUUAGAGCCUGCUUGGGAGUUUCGGGGUAGCGGUUACGAGCGUUUUUUAAAGUACCGAUUUUGAGCAUUUAUGAGCGGAUCGAUUUUGGGUGGUUUUUAGUAGCAGUUCUUAAAACGCUCCAACCCAUGCUUGGGAGUUCGUUAUCCACCGGUUCUAAAAGACGUUUUAAGAAAUAAAAUUACAUAUAUACCCAUCACUUUAUUGAUAGAAUCUUUCUUGUUUAACAUUACAAACUUUUGGUAAAUAUCACAGUUCAAAUCUUCUGCUAUUCAAAUAAUGGCUCCACAGUCCACAGGCCACAAAAAUUGAAUGGGUACCACAUUAUAAAUUUUAAUCAAAAUCACCUGUCAUUUUUCCAAUUCUCUGUUACAUUCCACAAAAUUAUAGAUAAUCAGCAAAAACAAAAUUGAAUAGCAACAUCUGCAGCCGUUCUCUGUUAUUUUUCCAAUUCUCUGUUACAUUCCACAGAAUGGAUUAGGAAGUAAUUGCCACAUCUACAGCCGUUCGAAAGCUCAAAAAAAUCAUCAACCUCUUCGAUUGACAGAUCCUCUAAUCUGAUAUCUUCAGCAGUUGCAGAAUCUUGCCUCGAAGAUUGCAGCUCGUUAUCAUAAAAAGCACGAGAUUUUGAAUCUCCGAGGACUUCCCAAGCCCUCUGUACCUCUAAAAACCUUCUGCCCAACUCGUUUGCAGGAUUUGAUGUUUGGGAUGUCGUUUGCAUUUUAUCUGCAAUUCACAGUUGAAGCUUCUGCUGUUGUUUUUCUUCCUCCUGCUUUGGAAGAGUUGAUGUAUAAGAUUUUGGAAGGCUUGGCAAUGAUUAUUUUAAAGAGGGUAAACUUGGAAGAUAAUUUAAGAAACGGUCAAAACCCGCCGAUUUGGGGAGUUGGGAGAAACGCUCAAAAUUGAGCUACACCGAUUUUGGGAGUUUUUUAAACCGUACAUAACCGGUGCUCAAACAAACUCAUAAGCACCGGUUCUACGAAACGCUCAUAAACGGUACCAACCAAAACCGGUGGAAAAAAAACUCCCAAGCAGGCCCUUAAUGUUCCUUAAAGCAGAGCAAUACAACAGGGCAUCCGAUGGUAUAGUGAUACGAAGGAUCCUUCUGGCUUUUUUAGUAAUUGCACCAAAAGAUAAUUAGCAAAAAGUCGUCGAUUGGUGGGGAUUAAAAUCGAAUUUUCAGUAAAUUUUGAUAGAAAUUGAUGAAUUUAUGGUUGAAAAGUUGUGGAUUCCAUAAAAUGUAUGGUUAAAAUUAAUUUUUGACUUUUAUUUGGAUUUAAAUUUUGAUUUUUAGUAGUACCAAACAAGGUCAAAAUGUUUUUAUCGUUUUCACUCAUUGCACAAAUCGUUUAUAUUAUUUUAAAUUUUAUAUUUAAACCAUCAUUUUAAUUAUUGUGGAAUUCGUCAUUUUCAUCUCAUUUAGCCCCCGUUUGGACUCUUUUUUUCAUAUUAAAAUGAGUGGAAUAGUAUUUUUUGGAGAAUGGUAGUUGAAAAAGAAGAAAUUUUUUUCAAUUUACAUUUAAUAAAAAAUUAUGUGAUUAAAAAUAGAAAAGCGAAAAAUAAAAUUUAAUGUAUUUAGAGUAGUAUUUUUAGGAGAAUGUAUGGUCAAAAAAUAAGGAAAAAUUUUGGGAGAUUUGUAGAAUAUUUUAUUGUGUGAAUAUGUGAUUGAAAAAUGAUCGAAAUAAUGUUAUUCGUAGUGAAGCUAUCAAUAGUCGUUUUACGUAACAUAUACAUGCAAAUUUUUUAUUUGAUAUGUGAAACAAUAAAAAUAAAUAAAUCACAUUAAUGUAUCAGAUAACAAACUAUCAUGUAUAUGUCAUAUAAGAUGGCUACCGGUAGCCAUUACUCAAAUGAUUGUGUAGCAAAACCAUAAAAUAAAUUAAUGGGAUAUAUUACUCUUCAAGUAUUAGUGUGUUACCUAAAAUGUUGAUUUUAUUUUUAUUUUUAUUUUUAUUUUUUUUUAAGAGUAACAUAGUAAGUAUAUGUUUUUCAUAAGAAAUGAUGAUUUUUAAUGAAAUUUUGAUUUUAAAUGACAAUGAGAUAUUUUUUUGAAGAAAUACCGAAGUAGAUAAAUUGUAAAAUAUUGAUUUCUAGCAAAAAAUAAAAAAUAAAAAAAAAAUAUAUAUAUAUAUAUAUAUGUGUGUGUGUAGGCCAAACAGGGACCCAGUAACAUAAAUGUUCUUAUUGGAGCCUAAACAAGGGCUAUAUUACACUAUAAAAAAAAAAUAAGUGCAUGUUUGAUUCUCUUUAGUUGGAGAAUAAAUGUGUUUUGAGUUGUAUUUUUAGGAGAAUGUAUGGUCAAAAAAUAAGGAAAAAUUUUGGGAGAUUUGUAGAAUAUUUUAUUGUGUGAAUAUGUGAUUGAAAAAUGAUCGAAAUAAUGUUAUUCGUAGUGAAGCUAUCAAUAGUCGUUUUACGUAACAUAUACAUGCAAAUUUUUUAUUUGAUAUGUGAAACAAUAAAAAUAAAUAAAUCACAUUAAUGUAUCAGAUAACAAACUAUCAUGUAUAUGUCAUAUAAGAUGGCUACCGGUAGCCAUUACUCAAAUGAUUGUGUAGCAAAACCAUAAAAUAAAUUAAUGGGAUAUAUUACUCUUCAAGUAUUAGUGUGUUACCUAAAAUGUUGAUUUUAUUUUUAUUUUUAUUUUUAUUUUUAUUUUUUUUUAAGAGUAACAUAGUAAGUAUAUGUUUUUCAUAAGAAAUGAUGAUUUUUAAUGAAAUUUUGAUUUUAAAUGACAAUGAGAUAUUUUUUUGAAGAAAUACCGAAGUAGAUAAAUUGUAAAAUAUUGAUUUCUAGCAAAAAAUAAAAAAUAAAAAAAAAAUAUAUAUAUAUAUAUAUAUGUGUGUGUGUGUGUGUGUGUGUGUGUGUGUUUCUUAAAAAAUAGUAAUAGGUUGCAUUUUUCAAUUUUCUGGAGAAAAAUAGUGUUUUUGUCAAGUUAUCCUUCCAAGAAAAUGGUUCCAAAAAAUUGGAAUAAAAAAAGUCGAAAAAUGGCUCCCAAAGAAAUGGAAAAAAAAUCAUAAAAUGGGACGCGCCUUGUGGUUUUUAGUUCUUCGUUUGAUAUUAGACAAUCAAAAGAGAAGUUGGUAGUUAUUUUUUGUGUCUUGACCACAUCUGCAUAGCAUUUUUGAAAAUCUCUCAUGCAGUUGUUUUUCAUGCCUUAUUAAACAUUAACGAUGUGUUUGAUUACAUUUAUUUUCCAUGAAAAAUAUCAGUUUCCACCCAAAUUCCUAUUUGAAGUAUUUGAUUACUAUUUUUUUCCAUGGAAAACAUUUUCCAACUUUUGAAAAUAUGCCUAAUUUUCCUUGUUUUUAAGGAAAACAUUUUUUUUGGGUAGAUGUGGUUUUUAUUUUUCACAAAAGAUGGAAAAUAUUUUCUUUUUUAGGUGAUAUUUUUCAUGUCAAUCAAACACACUCUAAUAUAUCAAGAAACUAUGGAAUUUCAGCAAAAUUGUCGUCCAUUAUUGAGAUAAUUUUUUUUAUAGUACAACUCACUCAAAAUUUUUAAUGGUUACGCUAAUGAUCAUUCGAUCGGAAAUGUUAAUUUAAAAUUCUGUCACUAUAAAUUCCAAUAGGGACAUAAACAAUAUUAACUAGUAUGCAAUGUAAGAUAAAAGUCGUGUCUCAUUAAUAAAUGCAUAAUUGACAAAAAAAACCCUAUUCCCCGCAUUUAUGCUAUUUCAAUAAAUCACGACUUUGUCCUACGAGAUGUACUAUUUAACGGCUUUUGCGUCCAUGAGGGAAUUUUGCAAGUGACUCAUAGAAUUUUAUGUUAAUCGAUGGGGCUUAAAGUCAUUUUCUAUCCUAAACUCGUAGGUAUUGAGAAUUAAUAUCGAACAAAUACGACGAAAACAUUUUCGGUCUCCUCUCACUUUUUACCCUCUUCUAUUUGGUCUUGUAAUGUACAAAAUAUUGGUCUCCGUACUCGUCUACUUUCUUCCUCUCUCAUUAUUUAUCCCGAUGUGUAAAAAUGUGUUGAACUGCCCAGGCUCAACCCAACACGAUAAAAAUGUGCCCUCAUAUUGGGCUCAACUAUAGGAUCCGUGGCAACCAGAUGCAGUGGUGCACACUCAACAAAUGCACCACCAUUUGAUAUAAUAUGAAAUUUUCAACAAAACACAUAAAUAAUGCAAAUAGAAAAUUUAUAUAUACAUGUAAAGUUACCCUGCAGACCAACACAUGUCUACUGCUUUUACAAAGAUCCAAUCUCCAGUAGAUGAUAAAUUCAUCGGUGACACCUAAUAUAUUAUAGAUAUUAUACAUACAUUGCACAAAGCAAAAGGAAUAGAUAUUUUGCCUGUGCAUAGAUAAAGAUUAUAUGCUACAUUCAUUGUUAUUUUUCAAACAGAAUACAUUGUCAUGUUGCUGUAUACUAAGAUUCCUUAUCUCAAGAUAUCGCGUAGAAGAGAUGAUAAAAUGACGAUAGGCCUCUCAUUUGGACCGGCCAUUUUCUGGGAAUGCAGGUUACAGAGUGCAGCCCCUGCCACAUUCCAUACAAAUUUGCAUUUUCCAGGAUCAUUCCGUUUUUUAGCGAAGUCGUAUGUUACGUGAUAGAUAGCAAGGGCCUCCAUCUCAAUUUCUUCAGUUUUUUUCGCACUUUCUUCCAUGUCCGAGGCAUCGUACAACAACUGCAUGCGUUUAAGCAUUUUAAAGUGUCAAGGGUAACUCCCACAUAGAAUAAAGAUGAAAUGGACAAUAUAUGUGGAACCAAACUAGUACUCUUUAACAAGGUUGACUUUUUUUGACAGAGCUCCAAGACUCAAUAUGGUAUCAGCACCUAAUACGCUCAAAUGAGCAAUUUGAUUCACUUAAAGCUUAUUAAAUGAACAGAGUCCAAGGGCUAGGGCUAUUCCUCUAAAAAAGUUGAACUAUUCAGAUGGAAACCCGUAGUUCAACUGAUUUUAAUUUCUUUUGUUUCAACUAUAAUAAAAAGUACCUGCUUGUAUUUUCUGAUCACCUCAUCGGCAGCAGCAUUUUUUGAUUCACCUCUCGAAUUCAAGGCCCGGGUCAUGUCCAUACGAUACUCAUCGUAUCUAUCCUUCCACAUAUUCAAGUACAUUUCUGGGAUUUCAACAUCAAAACAGGGUAGUUUCGAGAUUUCUGCACAACAAGAACCAUGCCAAUUACUCAUUAUAUUCAAGAUCCAAGCCAUGUCACAUUGUUUAAUAGUAAAAAGACCUUGUCUACCGAAGUAUGAUAAAAAGAUUACCAAAGGCAAUAUCUAAAUCCAACAAAUUUAAACUUUGCAUAAAGUUACUUAUGCAGCUUGCCAGGAAUCUAAAAACACGCUCAUAGAACUAAAUUGAUGAUGGUGAUUCAAGGAAUAUUUACCUAUUGUGGGGAAAUGAUCAGUUUUAGAUUCCUCGACUCUAUCAUAAAUUUGACCCAAUAUAGAAGUGGAAUGAUAAGUAAAGCGAGGGCCCCUUUCCAUGUAGUGAGGAUAUGAUUUGGCCUUCAAAUGAUUGGGAACUUUGACCUGGUUCACAAGAGUGAGAAUAGUGGGAUAUUAGUGUACAUGAAAAAAGAAAAAUAUCAUUUAGAAAUAUAGGGUCUGUCAAAAAAAAAAAAAAAAUUGCGUCACCAAACUAACAUUUUUUCCACUUUUAGGUGCAUCUAAAGCAUCAUAAUAUAUGUCAAUUAACUGAAUGAUUUUUCUCCUCAAAUCAUCCUUUUUAAAGGCACUAUCAUCCGACAACAUCAGCAGUUGAUCCAUAUUUGUGAGCCAGCUAUCAGCUGCGGUGGCCAUGUCAUAACUGGAGGAGCAAACCAGAAAAUUUAGUCACAAGAUUAAUCUUGUAUAAAUUACAAAAUUGCUUCACUCUACAAAGAAAAAAUUGCAUACGUUGGCUUCCUUGCUUGUGAGAAGAGCCGAAAAAAUUCCCGUUCUAGUUCCUCCUCUGAGAGCUCCAGGGGAUUUAUCUUAUGCGAGUCCGGAGUCGAAUGAACGCGACUCCAUGGUUCACUUGCUUUGAAAUAUGUCAAUAGCUGAAAUGUUCAUGUGAAAAGAAAUGCUUAAACUAGAACUAAUAUAUUUUGUGUUAAUUUAAAAGAAAAAUAUGAAUUCUCAGCAUAAUCUCAUGCCAUCUUUGCAGAACAAUUCAAGGCAAGAUUUAGCAAUCAUAUAUGGGGAAAAUUUUACGAACACAAACUACUUCAACAAGAAAGAGAAAAAGAGAACAAAAAGAAAGGACAUAUUUAAGAGACAAUCAGAGGUAGCACAUAAUUUAUGUAAUUCCCGAUCAGAUGUAAACUAAGAGAGAAAUCCUUAAACAGGUGCUAACCUCGGGGUUUCUGGAAACCCAAUACAUGUCUCCAUCAAAAUCACCCGUCGCUAUUUCAUAAGCUGCUGAUCUCCCGCCUUUGGUCGAGAAGAAUAUACCAUACUUGGCAUUGCCAACAACCUCUUGCAACUCCUCCACAUAUACCGCGUCUAAAAUGUGGAUGUCUCCAAAAUGUAGUCCAGGAUUUCUGUAUACUAGCACCUUGCCCGAAAUUUGACCACUCUCACUGCAUUUCCAACAAAAUUAUAAUCAAGUUAUUUUCUAUUUAUGAAUUUUUAAUUAUACAAGAGAUUAAUUUGGACGUUCACAAAUCAAAAAGCUAGCUAUCGUUUGAAUAGGCUGAUAGGAAUAUGCAGAGGAUUGUGGUAGUCUAACUUUGCACAUCAACGUUUGGUGAGGGCAGUAGUCACAAAAAGGAAGUCACUACGGUCAUAGAAGGUAAAGGAUGAAUUUCUAGACUCUUUCAUUUUCAAAGACAAACUGCAAAAUCACAUAGAAGAAUUCUCUUCUCAGAAGUGUAAUCUAUAUACAUACAGGAUAACACAGACUUGAUCAUUGUUCAAUCUUCCCGUAGGGUCAGCAGUGCCCAUCACGUAAAAGCUUUCACUGAUUGGUAUCCUCCCUGUUUUAAGCUUCGCCUUGUCAUCCUUUACCAGUCUUGACAAACAUUGUUGGAGAUAUGGCUCAGAGAGAGGAAUCCCAGAUGAUAGCAUUCUUUGGGCCAUAAAACCGUCAUCCAUGCCUUCAUGGUUCGAGGCAACUGCAACAAAACACAUGUUAUAUAAAAAGCAUAAUUAAGCCCUUGUUUGGCCCACAUUAAAAUUAUAAAUCAUUUCUCUCUUCUUAUCAACCACACAUUAUCCAAUAAAAUAAUAUUACGCAUAAACCAAAAAAAUUUACUUCUUUUUCAACCACAUUUUUCAAAAAAAUACUAUUCCAAAAAUUAAAAUGGCAAAUAAUGGGGGCUAGAUAAAAUAAACAUAUAUUUACUGCAUAGUUCUAGUAAUUUUAAGGUUGAAAUAGCUAGGGAGAAAUGAUGAAGUAUAUAGAAAUCAAAUUCACGGUCAAUGUUGCACUAAAUACAUGUGUAGUCAAGAAAACACCGGAAUACUGAAAUUCAGAAAAUCAGUAAAUUGGUAUUAGAACAUACCAAGAAGGGGGAUGAUUACCUUUGAAAAUUUGAACAAUAUAAGCUAGCAAAUGUUAGUUCAAGAAUUACCUCUCAAAGCUGCAAUCCUAUUGGAGUAUACGUUCUGUGCCUCUUCCAAAGAAUGUGUCACUAAAUUCAGAAAGAACUCUCCGGGAACACCACCAUAGCUCAAAAGAGCAAUCAAAUAUUUGGAGAAGAAGGUUCUUCCAGGUUUGUGACUGGAAGGUGAACAUCGAAGAGUCAGGAAAUAUUGACCUUUAUGGAAAAUCCAACUUGACUGAUUGACAGGGCUCUGAUUUUUUCUAUAAUACAACUCAGCGACUUACAAAUAUUCACAUUCUAAACAACUUGUCAAGAUUACAAAUAAAAUAAAUAAAAAAAUAUAAAUAAGAACCUUUUCGGUAUUUUGUCUUGGUUCCAAUUAACCUAAAACAGAAUUCCAAAAUGCUUCAACGGAAUUUGAAUUUAUGGUGUAUCCCCUCAAAAAAAUAUAUAUAAAGAUAAAUAAUCUUUCAAGGUUCUAAUGAGAAGAGAUGAUGAAAAGAUUCUUGAUGAGUAAAACAAGCGCCUGCAACAGUAUGCUAAUUGCAAAUGACAAAGCUAAAUCAGAAAAAGCCAUUUUCACAAUAUCGUGGACCAAAGAACUAAGAAAAAUUAGUGAGAUACCUAACAGCAACUAUCUCCAGUGAAUUAAACGUUCGUCCAACUGGCAAUGUUGGAUCUGUCUCAACCUUUAUCAUUGAAGGUCUUAUCUGAACUAUUCCUGGUUGAAGCUGCAGUAAUUGAGUAUUAAAAAUGUUAGAAGACCAAGAAAAUGAACUCAUAGCUCUCCACAAAAAAACUGAAGCAAUAAAUAGUAAAUCAACUCAUACUUUGGGGAGUAGUGAAUUUAUUAUCAUAAUACAAAUAUUCAACCAGUAAAUACACAUGAAUUUGUGGAAUCAUUUUUUAUUAACAAAUCAAUAGCAGACACUUUAAAUCGAUAUUAUAGUUAAUAUAAGGAUACUUGUAAUUUUAAGUAUUCGGAACCUGUGUUACAUCCUCGAGGGGAAAAUGUAUAUAUAUCCUCUUUCUUGCGCUCUCUAACAAAAUUUAAUUUGCACAACAUUUAAGAAAAGUCAAAUUUAGACUCUGUAAAUUAAUAUGUGAUCUCGUAGUAUUUGUUCCACAGCAUGAUAAAUAUGUUAAGUGGCCAGAUGUAGAAAUCUAGAAUAUAUAUAUACCAUGCGUUUCAGUUAAAAUUAUAUUUCCUAACUGAUGUUUUCCAUGCAUGAAUUCAAGAAGAAAUCGUAAGUGAAUAAAGUAAGAAAGUACCUUCUUAUUUACCAGAAGAGUUCCCUUAACAGCACAACCAUUGUAAAACAACCUAACUUGCAUCAAUAAAGGCUGAAAGAAGGAAAUAAAGAUAUCAUCUUACAAUGCAAUAAUAAUACAUAUAAUUGAUGAAUAAACAGUUUCUUACAUAGAGAGAAAAAUGGAAGAAUUAAAUAGAAAAACGUUACCGGUUCCCUAUUCCCAGCUUUUGUUCCUUUUUGUUGACGUGAUACAUCCUCAAAAUCACAAAUCUUCUAAAAAAAUACAAAAUAGUAGGAAACUAUAUGAAAGAGCAUGUUUGGGAAGUGUUCAUAAAUUGUUUAAAUUAUAAACAUAUAAAAAUGAGUGGUACAAGGUAGUACUUAUGGGUCCUCUUGAAAUGUGUGGAUGAAAAACAACUUAACAGUGUUCAUAUAAACAUGAGCCAAACAUAGGCAAAAUCAAACGUUCAAGAGCUUAUUAAAUAAAAAUGCAAGAUGCAUCGGUAAAACUUAGACCAUUUUGAUAACCAAGCACCACGCUAUUGGACCAAGUUGGUAUUAGAAAUAUUACACGCUAUUAUUGUCAAUAAUAAGCAAACUUUAGUCAUUGAACAUACUCAUAGGUUACACCAACGCAAAAUUUCUUGUAUAUUCUUUAAACUUUAGCCUCUUGUACUAAAAUUAUCAAUCAUUCUUCUUCUCCUGAUCAUUCAUGUUUGGGUAUACUUACAAAAUAGAGGUUGGGAACAAGAUUACUACGAAGGUAAAAGGUUAGGGUCCACGCUUAUUUUACAUUUUUGUUUAACUAGAGCAAUGCCUUCCAACUUCAUUAAUCAUUUUUCAAGAGACAAAUGGAGGAGACUGAGGGCUGUGCACCAACAUAGCUAAUGUCUUGGUUUGACUUAGUACAUGUAUUCACAUAUGUCUUUGAAUGGUAUUUCUAGCAUUUUUAACUGAUAUAUCAGAAACCUCACAAAAAUUACUUUCUUUUUCAAGAGAGUUUACGAAACUAAUGAAAGUCUUUGCUUUAAAAAAAUGGACAUCAAUUUAAACAUCGUGAAAAGAAAACAAAGACAUCUAAUUCAGGUCAAAGUAAGAUAUGAAGGGGCUAGAAAAAUAUCCAACAGGUGCUUCAUACUAGAAAGAGAAAAAAGAUUAACCAGAAGAUCUUCAUCCUUCAUAUAUUUAGCUCUGCAUAGAUCUUUUGGACACUGCAUGGCUAGAUUUUCAGAGAUGUAGCCAGUUCCAUCAGUAUGUAAAAGAGGCUUCCCAUCUUCAUCAAAGAUAACAGAGUCAUUCUCAUCCUGAAGCAGGAAGAUAUAAAGAUAACAUAAUUAGUGCCAAAAUCAUGUGAAGUCUAGUAGCAGCAAGGGGAGCCAGCAAAAGAAAUAUUUUCUACUAGGAAAGGUAUAUCUUCAAUUCUCUGAAUUUCAACAGCAUCAAGAUCAACUUGAAGCUUUAUGGUCUUCGACAGGAUCAAAGAAAAUCUGAGCCAUGCAACAAUGGUAAACAUCAAUAUUCAACAAAGGAUCAUUUAUAGAUAAAUUGUGACCAAAAAACAAAAAUAAAAAAUAAAAAUCGAUAGUGAUAUCAACCUGGCCAUGCACUUUUCUAUUGAUGAAACUGUGUGUAUGUGCAUAAAAAGGCGUCUUAGUUCACUGAUCUUUUUACCAGACAAUUCAACAAAGUAGCAUUUAAGAUCAGAAUCAGUGGAUUUUUUCUCUUCCUUAAUUGAGGUUUUCUUCUUCCGUUUGCGCUCAUCCUUGAAUACUAUUCAAAAGCUAUAAUCAGUACUAUAUACACUAACAAGAUACAAAGAUGUAAACUCAUGAGCAAUCAACCUUCCCUAGAUGGCAAAAAUAAUAGAACAAAGAAAAGCUAGAUGUACCUAAAUAGCAUGACAGUAAACGGAAUUUCAGUGAAGGAAAACGAUUAAGAAAAAUCACCAAAAAAUCGGAAGCGCCUCAAACCAACAAGAAUUCCUUCCUUGUCUGUACCACACAUGCCAUCUCCUAGAAACUUGACAGUCAUAACAUUAUGCUCUCCUAAUGACCUUUGCAUGUGAGUAUUGGGCACGCUCAAAUAUGGACCCUGAUUUGAAAGAAAUUUUUGUGAAUUCCUGUACUGGGACAGUAUCUGAAAUGCUAUACAUGCUUGGUGGAGUCAUACUGAUUACUGACGAAAGAUUACAGAAGCUGGUUUUUGUGACUUAGCAUAAAGUUUAUCAAGGAGUAAAGAAACAACUCAAAUGACUCCACAUGAAUUUAAGAUAGAUUGAUACAAACCUUAAACUGUAAACUCCCAUCUUGAUUAACAUAACAAUUGUAGGAAUGAGUCUUCCCACAAUCCCAGUCAGAAUACUACAACAUAAAGAUAAGAAGUCAAAAAAUGGUAAGAGGAAUAGUAACAACACUCUGACGCAAAACUGGCUAAGUUAGCAAAGUUACAAUAGAGUGAACCAAAAAUAUUUUGAACUUAUAAAAUUGGCAUCAAAACCUGAUGAUGAAUUUUUAAGAAAUCCAUUACCCAACAAGAAGCAAAUUCUUAUGACAAAUAAAUGAAUAUUUUCGCCAUUAUGUUUGAACUGGAAAGACCUAUUCUAAAAAAUUCAGCAAGAUCCACUUGUUUGCAAUUGCAUCAUGUUGAGAUAAUUUUGAUCUAUGGAUAACUCUUCAACUCUUGUAGGUUGUUCUAUUAGAAUUGUUCACACACUUGUCAAUGGGUCUGUGCAUGGAUUAAUUUACAACACAAAUAUAUGAUACUGAUUAUUAGUUUCAACAUAACUACAAGAAGGAAACUAUGAAGAAAUACACUACAAUGUAAAGAGGAACAAUUAAGAUGUGUAACUGACCUCGCUUCGAUCUGACUUUUCAUAGAAGAGCCUCCCAUAGGAAUCCCAAAUUUUAGACUCGAAAUAUGUCAUCGGCCUGUCCUUCAUACUUAAAAUGUCAUUCACGUCAUCCAGAGUCAUCACAGUUUCCAAUUUUUUACUACAAAAUAAAUCAGAUGCCAUUAAUUAAAGAUUGCUGCGAUGAAUUAAAAAAAAGUAUUGAAUUAGAAUAUCAGGGACAACUAACCUUCCAAUGUAACUAAGUACUAAAAAUAAUCUCCUAAAUUCUAGCUUAUUUAGGAUCUGUAGUAGAGAACGGGUCCUCUCACUAAUUUCACUGGCAAACUGGCAAUUGGAUUUCUGAGGGCUUGUCCUCUCUUCAGCUUCAUGUUUGUACAAAAGCUGGCCUUUGGUUGUUCGAGGGACUGCCUUCUCCCGACUUGAUGAGGGAGAGUUCACUAGAUACAUUGCUGUCUGACCCUGUGAGCUUUCACCAUCUGCCCGUGGAGGAAACCUUUGUUACAAUGGUGCAGAAAUGUGGGGAAUACAAAGAGGUUUGGGACACACGGCAAUAACAAAAGAAGCAGGGAAGAAAGCUCAGAAUUCGAUAGUCAGAAAUGUCUCACAAAAUACUAUUAUCAUGGAGAGAGAAGUUCACUUGAGCUAAAUAGAAAUGAGAAAAAAAUGUAAAUUAAGAGGAAACAAACCAGAACAUAAACACUAUCUUUUUAUUGGCAUAUACGAAGAAAUAAUCAUCAUAUCAGCUCCCAGUUAAUGUAAAAUAUAAAGAAAGGUAAUAAAUUCCAAAUUCUAACUGAUUCGGGCUUAUAUCAAUGCUAUCUCAAGCCACAAGUUACCAAUAUUUUUUCAUGACGUUUAAUCUCUGGAUGUGAAUUAAAAUUUUAUUGCUUUUGAAGCUAGAGUCUUAUUGCAAUGCUAUACAACGAAUCCAAAAUAUUUCUCCAUACUCCAGGCCCCAAUAAUCUUCCUAUAGCAUGAAAAUUCCGUAAAUUUGAUACUUUUUAGCUUCAUCUAGUUAAAUGUCAAGAGGGAGUGGAAUAACUUAAUAUUUUUAUUUGGUAAGAAUUCCUAGUGCACACAAGUCUACUGAUAAACCAAAGACUUCAAUUCACAAUAUCAGUUGGUUAAGAAUCCUACACAAAUUUAACCCAACAGGCUAGCCUAUUCUUACAGUCAGAGGCAGUUAAAAAUUAAAUUACUAAUUUGGAGCCUAAUUAUCACUCAAAAUUCAUUCUCUUUGAGCUUAAUUUAUUAUAUAUUCAAAAUAAAGGUUCCUACCGAGUUCCUUUCAUAGUAGGAGCAAAAAGGGGGGGGGGGGGGGGGGGGGGGGGGGGGGGGAAUCCAAAUGGCGUGUACAUGCAUUAUCCUUUACACAACAAAAUAGGAACUUGAAGCUCCACAGAAACUUAUUUAGGGCCAAUUAGGCAGGUUUCUCCGUUUGCUUCUGCUUCUUGUAGGAAAUAUCACCUUUAAAAUCUCUCCUAAUCAGAAAUAUACAAAAGCAGCUUUGACUUUUCAAAAAUCUAGCCAAGUGGGCAUUAAAACACUUGGAAAUGAAAGAAAACUUGAGACCAUCUCCAAACAUGCAUUAAAUUUUGCACAAUUUUACAUCAAACUAAAAUUUAUCUUCAACCAUUACACCAAAUGAACAGUGUUUAACCAUUUUUUUUCAAUUUUUUUAUUCUUUAUAAUUUAUUUAUUUAAAAUAUUAUUUAUUUAAUUAUUUCAUAAAUACAAAAAUUACUAAAUAAAUAAUUAAGUUAAAUUACGAAAAAAAUUAAAUUCAUUAAUAAAUAUUAAAAACAUAGAACAAUUAAUAAAAAUACUAUAACAAUGGAAAUAUGAAAUCAUGUCAUCAGAAAAUAGUACAAUACAUUUCGAAUUUGGAUAGACGACAUUACGAAGUCGCUAAAUUUUUGCAAUUUAAUUUUCAGAAUUCAUAUGUUCAUCCCACAAAUGAUCGAUUAAUGCAUUUCGAAGUGCAAUGUGAGUUUUUUUAUCCUUGAUUUGUCUAUGACGAGCAAGGAAUUCCUGAAAAUGUCGAUUUUCGUCUUUAACUAACUCAACUUUUGGACUUGACGCUUCCGUCCAUUCUUGAACUGGUGCAUCAACAUUACGUUCGUCCUCGAUAAUCAUGUUAUGCAUUAUUAUAUAUGUAGUCAUGAUAUCAUGUAAUACUUGUUUUUCCCAAAACCUUGCGGGUCCUUUCGUUACUGCAAACUUCGAUUGUAGAACACCAAAUGCACGUUCACCAUCUUUUCUACAAGCUUCUUGUUUGAUAGCAAAUAACUUUUUUUUUGGGACCAUGCGGUUCAUGAAUUGUUUGCACAAUGGUAGACCAUUUUGGUUAUAUACUAUCAACUAGAUAGUAACCCACGUUAUAUUGUCUUCCUUGAAUGAUGUAUUGAGCUGGAGGAGUAAUUAGAUUAUCGCAUGUAUGUCGCUAUUUAAUAUAUUUCGUGUUAACUUUAAUAAAUAAUCGUGUUUGAUGUAUUUUAAAUUGUUUUCGUCUUUUAAUUAAUUUAUUAAUUAUUAUGUCUUACAUUUAAAAUUUAUUUUAAAUAGGUGAAGAAGAUAUCCUCAUCAGAACAUCAAUAGACGCCUUUUCGCCUAUAGCAGCAAGGUAACUUCUGGCAUAGCUUUUCACCGGCGGCUGGGAUUGUUCAUGGCAGAUCCUUUCAAUGAUCAUUUCCACUUUGUCUGGUAGAGGAAUUUCUUGAGGCCCUUCCAUUUCGGUUGAAUCUGUUCUGUGGGAGAAUUUGUGCUAUCGAGAUGGGAGAAAGUGAGAGACAGUUGAAGAGCGUGGGAGUUUGUAUAAGAAAAGCUCGUGAAUUUACAUGGAGUUUCCCGCUUUUAAGCUGGUAAUCAUACCCUGUUCGAUAUUUUUAUUUUCAAAUUUUUUUCUACGAGUGCAUUUCAGAACAAUAGAUUAAUGAAAAACAAAAAUAUAACGAAAAAUUUUGAAUUUGUUUUUCAUAUUAUUCUUUUUUUUAUUUAAAACAAGAAAGAGAAAAAAUAAUCUUUC
rnacentral:lncRNA from 1 species